rnacentral:rRNA from 1 species
AUAGUACCUCAGGAGGGAAGAGUCGGCUAACUCUGGGCCAGCAGCCGCGGUAAUACAGAGGUCUCAAGCGUUGUUUCGGAUUUACUGGGCGUAAAGGGAGCGUAGGCGGUUUGGUAUGUCGAAUGUGAAGGCCCACAACUCAACUGUGGAAAUGCAUUCGAAACUGCCGGACUAGAGUACUGGAGAGGAGAGCGGAAUUCUUGGUGUAGCGGUGAAAUGCGUAGAUAUCAAGAGGAACACCGGUGGCGAAGGCGGCUCUCUGGACAGAUACUGACGCUGAGGCUCUAAAGUUAGGGGAGCAAACAGGAUUAGAUACCCUGGUAGUCCUAACCAUAAACGGUGUACACUUGGUGUGCGAGGAAUUGUCCCUUUGCGCGCCGGAGCUAACGCGUUAAGUGUACCGCCUGGGGAGUACGGUCGCAAGAUUAAAACUCAAAGGAAUUGACGGGGACCCGCACAAGCGGUGGAGCAUGUGGCUUAAUUCGAUGCAACGCGAAGAACCUUACCUGGACUUGACAUGCAAGUAGUAGAACCCUGAAAGGGGGACGAUCCCGCGCAAGCGGGAAGCUUGCACAGGUGCUGCAUGGCUGUCGUCAGCUCGUGCCGUGAGGUGUUGGGUUAAGUCCCGCAACGAGCGCAACCCUUGUGAUUAGUUGCCAUUAUUAAGUUAGGCACUCUAGUCAGACUGCCUGUGAUAAGCAGGAGGAAGGUGGGGAUGACGUCAAGUCAGUAUGGUCCUUAUGUCCAGGGCUGCACACGUGCUACAAUGGCCGGUACAGAAGGAAGCAAUACCGCGAGGUGGAGCUAAUCCCCAAAACCGGCCUCAGUUCGGAUUGGAGUCUGCAACCCGACUCCAUGAAGCUGGAAUCGCUAGUAACGGCGCAUCAGCUACGGCGCCGUGAAUACGUUCCUCGGGUCUUGUACUCACCGCCCGUCA